rnacentral:rRNA from 1 species
CAAAGAUUAAGCCAUGCAUGUCUAAGUCCAUGCCCCAGCAAGGUGACACCGCAAAAGGCUCAUUAAAUCGGUCGUUGUUUCUUAGAUCGUACUUUGCUACUUGGAUAACUGUGGUAAUUCUAGAGCUAAUACAUGCAAACGAGUUCUGACCUUCGCGGGGAAGAGCGCAUUUAUUAGUCUAAAAACCGAUCGUGUCCUCUCGGAGGGCACGCGCAUCUGGUGACUCUGAAUAACCUUGAGCAGAUCGCAUGGUCUCGUACCGGCGACGCAUCUUUCAAAUGUCUGCCUUAUCAGCUUUCGAUUGUAGGUUAUACGCCUACAAUGGCAAUAACGGGUAACGGGGAAUCAGGGUUCGAUUCCGGAGAGGGAGCCUGAGAAACGGCUACCACAUCCAAGGAAGGCAGCAGGCACGCAAAUUACCCACUCCCGGCUCGGGGAGGUAGUGACGAAAAAUAACAAUACGGGACUCAUCCGAGGCCUCGUAAUUGGAAUGAGUACAAUUUAAAUCCUUUAACGAGGAUCUAUUGGAGGGCAAGUCUGGUGCCAGCAGCCGCGGUAAUUCCAGCUCCAAUAGCGUAUAUUAAAGUUGUUGCGGUUAAAAAGCUCGUAGUUGGAUCUCGGUUCCAGACGGGCGGUUCGCCGCACGGCGCUACUGCCCGGCCUGAACAUGCCGCCGGUUCGUCCGAGGUGCUCUUCACCGAGUGUCUCGGGUGGCCAGUACGUUUACUUUGAAAAAAUUAGAGUGCUUAAAGCAGGCGAAUAGCCUGAAUAAUUGUGCAUGGAAUAAUGAAACAAGACCUUGGUUUUAUUUUGUUGGUUUUCGAAACCGAAGGUGA